GGGCUGCAGCUCAGUGGCAGAGUGCUUGCCUAGCAUGCAUGGGGCACUGGGUUCAAUCCUCAGCAUCACA
rnacentral:tRNA from 1 species